CCAAGUUGACCUGCGAUCGACAGAAGGUCACUAUGUCUCCUCUGAAACAAUACCGGCUGUGAACUUGGGAAGUGAUGAUCCUUCCUCUCAAGGACGCACAGAACAAAGUAGUGUAAACCAGCCGUCAGAGAGCAAGUUGAGUCCGGCUGAUUCGAAUAUGAUGGUUGUGAGGGAAUAGACACCGUCGGAUGCGCUUGCAAUAGUCCCGAUUCAAGUUUUUGUGCCGCCAUCCCAAACAACCACCGUGCCGGAACUUCAAGAAACACCUGAGUCAG